rnacentral:rRNA from 1 species
AUAUCACUAAGCGGAGGAAAAGAAACUAACAAGGAUUUCCCUAGUAACGGCGAGUGAAGCGGAAAGAGCUCAAGCUUAAAAUCUCUGUGCAAGUUUUGCAUGGCGAAUUGUAGUCUAUAGAUGCGCUAUCAGUGCAGCUAUCUGGGAUAAGUUCCUUGGAAGAGGACAGCAUGGAGGGUGAUACUCCCGUCUUUGCCUAGAUAGCUUGCAUGUACGAUACGUUUUCUUUGAGUCGUGUUGUUUGGGAAUGCAGCACAAAGUAGGUGGUAAAUUCCAUCUAAAGCUAAAUAUUGGUGCGAGACCGAUAGCGCACAAGUA